GCCAUGGCGAUGCCUGAGCUGUCACAAAAGGAUGCGUGUGAUGAUUUCACAGCAGAUGGGCUGUGAGGGAGGAAGCCCUCAUUUAAAUUUUAAAAAUUGCUUUGGUAAUUAGCAAGAGCAAUGGAAAAAAAAAAUACGUUAAAAAAAAAGAAAAAGGAAAAGGAAAAAGAAAAAUCCCUGAAACUGGCACUCUCAGCAAAGGGUAAUGAAUUCUGCAGGAAGAGGAGGGAAGUAGGGGCUGUGCUCCCACUGCCCGACUGCAGGAUCCCCCCCAUCCCAGCACAUCUCACGGCCCACUCAUCCAGCCAGCCCUGCAGUAGGGAAGGCGGCGGGCAGGAGCAUCUCAAGGACCUUGGGCUGAGUCCUAUUCAUCGGGGAGAGCAGACUCCUGGGAUGCACGUUCUUCACUUGUCCUGUGAUUAACUGUUGGUCUUCCAAAGAAUGAGCCAGAUGGUUCCCAUGAGAAGUGAUCAGCUCUCCUGGAGUCUAUGAACCAGAAAAAGACAGAGUCUGGGUGCCUCUUGCCAGGACCUGUCUGAAGCUGAGGUGAUGAGUGCAGGUACACUGGGAGCUGGUGCCUGGGGGAUUCCCUCCACCUCAGCUCAUCAGCCCCACAAACUGAAGGGACAGCUUCUCCCAGCUUAAGGGCAUCACAGAGCAUAAGGUCAGCCCUGCUGAUUGGAUUCGGACCUCGGCAGUGCUUUGCUCCUGUGCAAAUUCCUUUUAGCAUCUCAUUCUGCAGACAGCGCAUCUGAUCGGUGCUCUCCACCUCAAUUUGAAGCCCCUCUUUGGAUACUGAAAGGAGCACUGGGUAUCCUUGGCUUUAUCUCCACGAUCUCUGCAGUUUCUCUGAGCACUACCGUCGAAUACACAAUGGCCAAUAAGCAGCUCUUAGCUUUUUCAUUGAGGAUGGCAAUAGGAACUGUCACAGUUUUAAAGCCCACGUCCUCCUCGCUCCAAACCUGUGCUCCGUUUUAAUGACUUCGUAUGGCAUCACCCGUGUUUGGGGGAAGGCAGAGGAGUUUGCGAAGGGGCCCCACGCAGCGCAGACCGCUUAAGCCCAACGGUGGGCCCCAAAGGAGGCUCCGGGCUCCCACCCACGGCCCCGCUUUGCACUUGAAAGCACCAACGGCAGCACCGCCGUAUGGGCCAAAGGGCCCUUUGCGCAUGGCAAGGCAGAAAGAAAAAGAACAGAAAGAAAAAAAAAGCUAAAGAGGCCUUAAACUAAGUGUGAAUGAGGACAGCAGCAAGGAGACGGCUUCUCCACCAUCGAUCUGGCCCGUAAAGAACCCUUCACAUAAACGAGCGUAAAGGUCAUUCAAACA